rnacentral:lncRNA from 1 species
CAAAUAUGAGACUAAAUGAGCAAUAAAGAAGAAGAGGUAGUGAUCUUACUCAAGGACACAACUAUGUUGAAGCUGUUCAUUGCAGAGUUUUUCUCUCAGAGCAAGAUAUGUCAAAAACGACUAGUAGCUUGUAUAUCUAACAAUAGAGAAAUGCUUAGACAUUUCAGCUAGUGCCUCUGUACUCUGAAAAAUACCUGGAAAGGACACACCAGAAAGAAGAAGCCACUGAACAGGAAAAGGCCAUGAGAGAUGAGAAGAUGAUCAACGGAAGAGGAUAUAGGAUGAAGAUACACAAGUUCGGGUGGGGAGGAGAUGAAGAAAAAGAAGAGGAUAAUUGGAAGGAAAUAUCUUUCUCUACCCCUGACCAAAUUGACUGGUUUGAGUUUGUUGCCUGACGUAAGCAGCAUCAAUGGGCCCAAGGCUGUGGUACAUAAAGCCCACAAACUAUGUGGAUCACGG